GGAAUCUUCCACAAUGGACGCAGUCUGAUGGAGCAACGCCGCGUGAGUGAAGAAGGGUUUCGGCUCGUAGAGCUCUGUUGUUAAAGAAGAACGUGGGUAAGAGUAACUGUUUACCCAAUGACGGUAUUUAACCAGAAAGCCACGGCUAACUACGUGCCAG
rnacentral:rRNA from 1 species